rnacentral:rRNA from 1 species
AUGGCCGUCGCCAUUCUGGCCGCGGCCGCGAUCACCGUGGCGGCGACGGACGGGACGGGGCCGAGGAGCUACUUCUCGUCGUGGGACGGGCCCGCGUGCACGGGGCGCAUGUCGAGCGCGGGGACCUGCGGGUGCAGCCCCGUCCACUUCCACGGCGGCCACGAGUUCAACUUCCGCGGCGAGACGGCGACGCUCUACAGCGAGCACGGCUGCGCCGGCACGCCGUACCAGGUGUUCGAGGACACCCAGGCCUGCGGCGACUUCGGCUGGCGCAGCAUCCACAUCGACUGCUGA